rnacentral:rRNA from 1 species
CCCUUAGAUGUUCCGGGCUGCACGCGUGCUACACUGAUAUUGCCAAUAUGUCAUUCUUAUCCGAAAUGGAUUGGGUAAUCAAGUAAUGAAAUUUCAUGCUUGGAAUCGGUAAUUGCAAUUUUAUCGUGAACGAGGAAUUCCUAGUAAGCACUAGUCAUCAGCUAAUGUUGAUUAUGUCCCUGCCCUUUGUACACACCGCCCGUCGCUACUACUGAUUGGGUGUUCAAGUGAGAUGCUUAGACCCUUGUUGCAUGGUUCAUUAUUGUGCUCCGAAAGGAAAAAGUUUCAAGCUUGAGUGUCUAGAGGAAGUAAAAGUCGUAACA